AGCAGCCGCGGUAAUUCCAGCUCCAAUAGCGUAUAUUAAAGUUGUUGCAGUUAAAAAGCUCGUAGUUGAAUUUCGGGAUCAAAGGAUCGGUCAUGCCUUGGUAUGUACUGGUUUUAUUGGUUCUCACCUUCUAAAGAACCAUGAUGUCAUUCAUUUGAUGUUAUGGGGAAUUAGGACUGUUACCUUGAAAAAAUUAGAGUGUUUAAAGCAAGCUUACGCUUGAAUACAUUAGCAUGGAAUAAUGAAAUAGGACAUCAGAUUCUAUUUUGUUGGUUUCUAGGAUCGAUGUAAUGAUUAAUAGGGAUAGUUGGGGGCAUUAGUAUUCAAUUGUCAGAGGUGAAAUUCUUGGAUUUAUUGAAGACUAACUACUGCGAAAGCAUUUGCCAAGGAUGUUUUCAUUAAUCAAGAACGAAAGUUAGGGGAUCGAAGACGAUCAGAUACCGUCGUAGUCUUAACCAUAAACUAUGCCGACUAGGGAUCGGAUGAUGUUAAUUUUUUAAUGACUCA
rnacentral:rRNA from 1 species